rnacentral:misc_RNA from 1 species
GAUGAAGAACGUAGUGAAAUGCGAUAACUAGUGUGAAUUGCAGAAUUCCGUGAAUCAUCGAGUCUUUGAACGCACAUUGCGCCCCCUGGUAUUCCGGGGGGCAUGCCUGUCCGAGCGUCAUUGCUGCCCAUCAAGCACGGCUUGUGUGUUGGGUCGUCGUCCCCCCCUCCGGGGGGGACGGGCCCUAAAGGCAGCGGCGGCACCGCGUCCGAUCCUCGAGCGUAUGGGGCUUUGUCACCCGCUCUGUAGGCCCGGCCGGCGCUUGCCGAACGCAAAACAACCAUUCUUUCCAGGUUGACCUCGGAUCAGGUAGGGAUACCCGCUGAACUUAAGCAUAUCAAUAACGGAGGA